rnacentral:rRNA from 1 species
UAGUAACGGCGAGUGAAGCGGGAAAAGCUCAAAUUUAAAAUCUGGCAGUCUUUGGCUGUCCGAGUUGUAAUCUAGAGAAGCAUUAUCCGCGCUGGACCGUGUACAAGUCUCCUGGAAUGGAGCGUCAUAGAGGGUGAGAAUCCCGUCUUUGACACGGACUGCCAGGGCUUUUGUGAUGUGCUCUCAAAGAGUCGAGUUGUUUGGGA